UUUAAUUUUAUCUUCAUUUAUAUGUUUAUGUGUUAUGAAUGAGAAUGUAUUGUGUAUUCUUGUCAUUAUGUCCCGUCAGGGGCCCUUAAUUGGAAAUAAAGAACUUUGAACUUUGAACUUUAAACAAGUUCAUCCACUGGCCAUGGUCAACUGAGAGUGUCAGUCUAUAUUUAAAAAUGGAAAACUUUCCAUCUUAAAAUAGAUAACAUGUAACAUUCUAUAUACAUAGUAUUUUCAGAAAUGAUGUUUGUCGUAUAUAUAAGAUGUAUUUCAUUGUAACUUCAGUGUAUUGUGGGACAGAAAAGGAUUCAUUAUGUAUAGCGACGAAGAAACUGUUGGGCGAGUUGUAUUCGGAGAAUCUAGAGGUGAGGCGAUUGAAGGACAGCGUGCUGUUGCAUAUACCAUGGUCAACAGGGUAAACCACUCUGGUUUCCCGAACUCCGUAAGGGACGUAGCAAAUCAGAGGACUACCUCAGGAGGUCAUCAGUACGAAACCUUGGAUCUACCUUCACAUAACAGCGCAUGGGACGAUCAUAAAAGGAGGAAUACACAAGAGUAUAGAAACGCAAUGGAAGCCUCCCAAGAUGCCCUCAGUAGAAGAAACACUGAUCCAACUCACGGUGCUACGAGUUUCAAUCAAAGUCCCGGACCCAACAAAACAAGAAUAGGAAAUCACUAUUUCUAUCGUAAUUAGAGAAUUGUCUGUAAACAAACUUGUUCAUGCUUUAAUCUACUGCACUACCGAUUUUCAUAUCUUAGUUACAGGAAGUACUAAUCUUUUCGUUCUGUUGGACAUAUAAAUAUAUAUUCGUAUAUUCUUGCAUUGUCAAUUACUAGCAUCAAAUUUAUAAUAACACUAUAUGAUGUUUGAGAUAUUUCAAUUGAUGAACUAUGCUUUUUAUGUUUUCUCAUCAUUGUACGACUUUUUCCGUUUUUAGAACCUCAACUUUAAAUAAAAUAUCUUGAUGAAGAAAA